rnacentral:misc_RNA from 1 species
AAGUCGUAACAAGGUCUCCGUAGGUGAACCUGCGGAGGGAUCAUUAACACAGAAAUAGAAAUGAAAAACAAAAAUGAGAAAUUCAUUUUCGAUUCAUUUCUGCUUUCUUUUAUCUCACCCAUCUUACGUGAACUAUGAUGCCACUCUUUUUCAAUGCGUUUUGUUGUGUCAUUGUUUACAAUGCACACACACUCGCAUUUUUUUGCUAUUUUUUGCAAAACCUUUUCCAACUUCCACACCAACUUUUUUUUAAUUUUAUUUUUCUAGUGUAAACUAGAGAAAUGAAGCAAAACUAAAACAUUGCAAAAGUACAACUCUUAGCAACGGAUAUCUUGGUUCUC